rnacentral:rRNA from 1 species
UACGUAGGGGGCGAGCGUUGUCCGGAUUUAUUGGGCGUAAAGCGCGCGUAGGCGGCCCGGUAAGUCCGUUGUGAAAGUCAAAGGCUCAACCUUUGAACGCCGAUGGAUACUGCCGGGCUAGAGUCCGGAAGAGGCGAGUGGAAUUCCUGGUGUAGCGGUGGAAUGCGCAGAUAUCAGGAGGAACACCAAUAGCGAAGGCAGCUCGCUGGGACGGUACUGACGCUGAGGCGCGAAAGCGUGGGGAGCGAACAGG